rnacentral:rRNA from 1 species
UACGGGGGGGGUAAGCGUUGUUCGGAAUUACUGGGCGUAAAGGGCUCGUAGGCGGCCAACUAAGUCAUACGUGAAAUCCCUCAGCUUAACUGGGGAACUGCGUGUGAUACUGGACGGCUUGGAUUUGGGAGAGGGAUGCGGAAUUCCAGGUGUAGCGGUGAAAUGCGUAGAGAUCCGGAAGAACACCGGUGGCGAAGGCGGCCUGCUGGGGUCUUGGCUGACGCUGAAGCGCGACAGCGUGGGGGAGCAAACAGG